rnacentral:lncRNA from 1 species
CCUUCCUCCACCUUCCAGCAAACCUGUCCACCUCUACCUUGCCCCAAGGCCACUCCUCUUCUCAUUCUCUCCUCUUUAAUCAAAACUCUUUCCUUCAGGACUGCGAUGUUCUAUACAUGCUCAGAGAAAGGUAUCAUCAGUUUCCUCAUCAGCCAACUGAAAGAGUGAAUGAAAAGCUCCUCAAUGCACUAGAUACCCAAGAGGUCUUGAUAAACCUUCCUGAUUUCCCCCACUUGUCUCUAAAAGAAGUUCAAAGUGGAGACUUGAACCUUGAAACUUACCCAUGUAUCACGUUUGAUAUCCUGAAGAGAUACGGUCUUUUAAUAAAUAAAUAUGCCUUGCAUCAUCAAGUGCCUAGCAACUUUCAAAGCACUCAAGCAGUACACAAUGACAUACAUUUGAAGCAACUAAAAACAAGAGAGAACUUGAGAAAACUUCAACCCACUGGGAGGACCCAGAGCACCAGUCUCCCCUGUUGUCCUGGGAUAAUAAUCGACAGUGAUUUCUGCUGUCGUCUGUAGAGUCAUAGAGGGAAAAGGAGUCUCUCAAGUUAUCAGCCCGUCCCUCAUUUGGUGAGGACACAGCUGUUUCCUCAAGGUCAUGUUGGUUAGUCUCAAGCUCUCUAUGUCUAGUCUUGCCACCUCUGUCAUCAUUUUGCAUAUAUUGCUUAUUCUGAGUCCUUUUGUAUGAAUUUAUAUCUCUAACACUAGAAUUGUUGCAGCUAAAGACAGUCAUAGACUUUUGUGCAGAUUUUAAAUUAUUUUGGUGGAAAAAGAAAGUGUUAUUCAAAAAUACUUGUUAAAUGAAUGUAUGAAAGUUCUUUCAGCUUUCAUUUCAUGUUAUCUUGUGAUCUCAUCAAAUUCUUCCCCCAUUUAACAAGCAGGAGGAGGAAAUAGAAACCCUCAUGUAUUAUCAGGUUCUCAGCCUACAUGUAGUCCAUAUGGUUCAUAAUCACACUUGGAAUGAAGUAUUUCUAUUUCCAAAUGUUUAUAGAUACAUUAAAAUGAGUGUUGUUUGAUUUCAACAGAGCUGACAACAACUUAUCCAAUGCUGCAUGAUUUGGUGAUUCCUGAAGACAAGAGCAAGGGAGGUCAUGCAGAAUUGUGAGCUAAGCUGAGCUUGUAUCUCUUGCUCUCUCUACAUAAUAUACCUUUAACUGCUCAAACUACAAAAAAAAAAUAUUUAUUCUCAUCUAAUCUGAAGGAAUGCACAACUUUAAAUCUCUUACACCAGCCAAGAACAAAUGCAUUUUUCAAGAUACAUCUUUACUGUAGUCUCAUAGUUCUGUUUCCAAAAAAACCAAUAAACAAAAAUCUCUUAUUCAUUUGCAAAAUGCUUGAAAAUCAGUAAUCUCUCCCAGUAGAAUUAGCUUACUUUAUAGUGAAGGUGCUAAAGACAGUUUGAGACAUACUAUGGAAUUUUAUAUAAUUCACAUUCGAUUCAAUUGUUGAAUCCAGUGAGCCACGCUGUGUUCCUAAUGUUCAAAUAGAUGUCCAAAUCUCUCUUUGGACCAAAAUAAACCAAAUGGUUGCAUCCGAAAUAGCUGUUUUGUUAAAAACCAGAG